rnacentral:lncRNA from 1 species
UUAAAUGAUGUUAUAAAGUAAAGAGCAAGGAAAAUACUUACCAUCAUUUGGUUCGGGAUUAAGUAAAAAUUUAUUAUUUCAGGGAUAGAAUUAAGUUUAGGAUUAAUGUGGGGUUAGAGUAAUUUUGUGUUUGGUUGAGAAUUGGGUUUAGUUCAGAUAUAGAUAAAAUAGUAUUUGAUUGGAGUAGGUGAGAUAAGAAGGAUAGUGAAUAAAAUACUGUUUUGUUUGAUUGGAGUAGUGGGGUAGGAUGGGAUUCCCACCCCUCAAAUUGGGUGUUUGGGAAUAACUUCGGGGUUAAGAGUUUAUUCCACCCCUUAACCUCGAACCAAAUGGGUGCUUAGUCUACAUCUUAUAUCUUAGGCUGCGUUUGGUUGGAGGGAUAUCCCAGAACAAGGCGGGAUAUCCCUCCAAACAAAAUGUAUUUUGGAACAACCGGGUUGUUCCCGGAACAACCCGUUAAGCCGGGAACAACCCGGUAAACUUGUUCUCCCUAAAAGGGAGAACAAGCCGGAACAA